AUUGAACGCUGGCGGCAUGCCUUACACAUGCAAGUCGAACGGCAGCACGGGAGCAAUCCUGGUGGCGAGUGGCGAACGGGUGAGUAAUAUAUCGGAACGUGCCCAGUAGUGGGGGAUAGCCCGGCGAAAGCCGGAUUAAUACCGCAUACGACCUGAGGGUGAAAGCGGGGGAUCGCAAGACCUCGCGCUAUUGGAGCGGCCGAUAUCAGAUUAGCUAGUUGGUGGGGUAAAGGCCUACCAAGGCUACGAUCUGUAGUUGGUCUGAGAGGACGACCAGCCACACUGGGACUGAGACACGGCCCAGACUCCUACGGGAGGCAGCAGUGGGGAAUUUGGACAAUGGGCGCAAGCCUGAUCCAGCAAUGCCGCGUGCAGGAAGAAGGCCUUCGGGUUGUAAACUGCUUUUGUCAGGGAAGAAAUCUUCUGGGCUAAUACCCCGGGAGGAUGACGGUACCUGAAGAAUAAGCACCGGCUAACUACGUG
rnacentral:rRNA from 1 species